GCCCAGAUGGCGGAAUUGGUAUACGCGCAGGUCUCAGAAGCCUGUGCCCUCACGGGCUUGAGAGUUCGAGUCUCUCUCUGGGCACCA
rnacentral:tRNA from 1 species